AACUUAAAGGAAUUGACGGGGGCCCGCACAAGCGGAGGAGCAUGUGGUUUAAUUCGAUGAUACGCGAGGAACCUUACCUGGGCUCGAACGUAAGAUGACUGUAGGUGAAAGCUUACAUCUCUUCGGAGCAUUUUACGAGGUGCUGCAUGGUUGUCGUCAGCUCGUGCCGUGAGGUGUCGGGUUAAGUCCCAUAACGAGCGCAACCCCUACCUUUAGUUGCCAUCAGGUUAAGCUGGGGACUCUAAAGGAACUGCCUACGCAAGUAGUGAGGAAGGCGGGGAUGACGUCAAAUCAGCACGGCCCUUACGUCCAGGGCUACACACGUGCUACAAUGGCCGGUACAAAGGGUUGCCAAGCCGCGAGGUGGAGCUAAUCCCAUAAAACCGAUCGUAGUCCGGAUCGCAGUCUGCAACUCGACUGCGUGAAGUCGGAAUCGCUAGUAAUCGUGAAUCAGAAUGUCACGGUGAAUACGUUCCCGGGCCUU
rnacentral:rRNA from 1 species